CCCGGCUCCAGCAGGCGCUAGGGAUCGAGCCAUCAUCCAGGUAUUCUCAAACAGAAUCACAGACCACAGAAACAAAAUCCAUUAGGUUGGAAAAGACCUCUGAGAUCAUCGAGUCCAACCUUUGGUCGAACACCACUCUCUCAACUAGACCGUGGAUAAGUGCCAUAUCCAGUCUUCCCUUAAACACACCGGGAACAGUGACUCCAGCGCGUCGCUGAGCAACCCAUUCCAAAGUUUAAUCACCAUUACGUGAAGAAAUUCCUCCUUCUGUCGAAACGGAACCUCCCCUGGCACGGCUAGAGGCCAUUCCCUCUCAUCCUGUUAUUUGUGACCUGGAAGAAGAGACCGGCCCCCACCUGGCUACAGCCUCCUUUCCUGUGUAGAGAACGCUAAGGUCUCCCGAGUUUCCUUUUCUCCAGGCUAACCAUCCCCAGCUCCUGCAGCCACUCCUCACAGGACCUGAGCUCCCUUCACCAAGUCAAUUUCCCUUCUCUGGACGUGCUCCAGCAUCUCAGCAUCCUUCCUGAACGGAGGGGCUCAAAACUGCACACAGAACACUCAAGGUGCAGCCUCACCAGUGCCGUGCACAGCACGGUCACUGCCCUGGCCCUGCUGGCCACACUGGUGCUGAUCCAGGCCAGGAUGCCAUCAGCCUUCUCGGCCACCUGGGCACAGCUGGCUCAUGGUGAGCUGGGCACUGACCAGCACUCCCAGGUCCUUUUCCACCAGGCCGCUUCCAGCCACUCUGCCCCCAGCCCGUAGUGCUGUACCUCAAACAGCAAAGCCUGAAUGGCACUGGGGUGCGGGGUGAGAGCCCGCAGUGCCUGUCCUGCCCUCACACCCAGCAACAGAGGAUGACGGAAAAAGCGUGCCACGAGGAAUGGAACUGCUGUGGGAAAGGGGCUGCUUAGAAUCACCUUGUCAGGGCUAGUAUGUCAGAACAACACAAUUCAGCUUCAUAGAUCAAUGUUUAUAUGGUUCUCCCUAUAAAAGCUGUAUGGUUCAGCAGCAUUUAAAAGUGCCAGUUAACAUCUUUAACUGAAAAUGUUGUCAGCUGCAAUAACCCAUCUGGAUGACCAGUCUCAUUAGUUUUUUCCCCAGUAAGAUGGCAGUUCCCUCUGGAGCGGUGUAGGUUUUCUCCCACCUGCCCUCAGCACAUUUUCUCAUUCCAUCAUAAUGGAGCAGAAUUCCCAAGUAACAUUUGUUUUCUAUAUGGAAGAGAACAAAGAAGAGUCCUAUUUCUAAAGGUGCUUUGGAGCAAGGACAGCCUCUUCUGAGAUGGAGUCGAUGGCUUUUGGGAUAGCAGCUUGCAGAAGGGGAUGCAACAGGAAGAAGGUAAACAUCACUAAAUAUAAUCAGAGAGAAUUUGCAACCUGGACAAAACUUUUUUGAAGAAGAGAUGCAUCUUUUGAGAAGAGAGAAAAGGGGCAGACAAUACUUCCCACCUAGAGAAAAAAGUGUUUGUAACUUCAAGGAGAAUGUUACUUAUUUUUGUCGACAAAAUGUGAAGUGAUUUAUUUUUAGAAAGCCUUCACUAGUAUAUGCCACAAAGAGAACAAAAGAUUGUGCAAACAAGUUCUCACAUUCUCAAUAAGAAUCCCUCCAAGAAGUUUAACUGAAAGCAGAAGAUUCUUCACCUCUGCUUUUUUACUGUUAACUUCUCAUUAUCUGCCUCUAAAAUCCAUUUAAAUUUUCAUUUCUGUUGCCUCCUGAGUUUUUUCAUCUGUUCUUUAGUUCUUGGACCCAACCUGCUGGCAAUUUUUAAAGUUAAAUUCUCAUGCUUCAGUCACUUCAACGAAAAAUAUGAAUUACAGAAUGCCUCCAUUGUAGUUUUGAAAAUUAUAAGGAAAAUCCACCCUCCAGUAAAAUACCACACAUAUGGAAGCUAUUAAUGAAAUUACAAAUUAAUCUUUGGCAAAAGCAACUAACUUGGGAAGUUUGCUACAAUAGUAGCAUUAGAUUUAAUUUUUUUAUGUCUCAUUUCACAUAUAUUGUGCACAUAGAGAAUAAAGCAUAAAUUUAUACCUUGCUCCUUGCUAUAUAUCAUCAAAAGGCAGAACUUGCUGGACAAACCACAGAUAGCCUUAGUUGGUAAAGCUUGGAGAGAGCCAAACCUUUCUCCAUGUGGUUGGCUAAAGCAGACAACAGGGUCGGGAGCACUUGGGGAACCAACAUAUUCUCCCCACUUCAAGCCCUUUAUCCAUGGUAAUGGGCUCUGAAACAAGCACAGACAAGGUUCCAAUUAUACCAUUUUCAGAAAAACUGUUUCAUUAGUAAUGUAGAAUGAUUCAUGUCAGUUUCCUGUAAGCAAUCACAUGGUAAGGACAGCUGAAGUCUUUGCUCUAAAACCACUACAAAGACAAGUUCAAAGCCCUUUAAUACCAUCAGUUAAACUGUUAACUUUAAGGUAGUUCUACUCCUUCUUUGAAGGCAUAGGCUGCAAGCUUCUAGUUCAGGUAGUUUAGAGAAAAAUACAGAUCUCUAAAUCCAGAGAUGCAGUUUCUGACUAGGUUUCAGGGAAAAGUGCUUGAAGUGAAGGAAGUUUAAGUGUCCUACAGGCAGUAAAAAAGCUAAGGAUGGGAUGGAAGAAAGCACAGUAUGUGUUUGCUUGCUAUAGGUCUACACACAGAUUCCACAAUUAAUCAUGGAAACUAUAAGACUGGUUAACUGAAAUGCUUUCCAACACCUAUUUCCCAAAAGCAAGACAAACUCAGAUCUUAGUUUACACAAAAUAUCACCAAUGCAUGAAAGUAAUUUUCACUAUCACUUCCUAAUUUUAUAUAUUUUCUUUACAGUACAAUAUAGCAAGCAGCACUUUUAGGAUGAAAAUUCUAGACCAAGGGUACAGGGUACAACAAUUACAGCACACAGGUAUUAAUUAAACCAUUUUGCAACUGAAAAUUACAUACUGGAUAAAUGAUUUCUUUAGUGUGUUCUCUGGUUUCUCUGAAAGCAAACUGCACUAGUAAUCCCAUGGCAGCAGGAAGUUCUCCUUCCAUGAUAAGCCUGGAUCCAGGUCUACUAACAUGUGCUGCAUGAAACAGCUGGCGGGGCGUUUGUCCAUAUGUUUUUAUCAUUGUUUCAAGGGCUCUUCUCUGAACAGGAUCUUCAACAGCAGAAACAUCCAUCCCAAAAUAGGUCUACCGGCAAAAAAGAAAGGAGAGGGGCAAGAAUAAGCUCAUCAGGUUUGUCUUUAGGAAAGAUUUUGCAACACACAAAUUCAGAGGCAGACUAUUCCGUUGUUUGCUCAAGGUGUGGACCAGAAGAGAUCCCACAACGACUGUGCUGACUAAAGAGCCAGAGAGCAUAACCUUGUCACCUCCUCUUUAUUGGAAUAAACUACCACUUUAAGGAUUAUCAUGUGAGCUGCACCCACAUAUGACUAAUUUCUGUUGAAGGUUUUCUUUGAGACCUUACCAAUCUGUGCAAAACAGGAAGGGUUGCUGAUGAUAAACAAAAGAAGUGGAAAGAGUUGGAGAAGUUUAUUUUCUUUAUCUCUUUUUAAUGAGCAUAUUAAAGCUCUCUUUUGGGGUAGGGAAGGAGAAAGAAACCUCAUACUUCAAGAGAGUGGAAAUUUGUCUUUUUCAUGCCUCUCCAGUUGUGCAUCACGCACUUUUCGUCAGAAGCCACAGCAAAGGCCUUGACUUUUCACUUUAAAAAAUGAUGAAGAGGCAAACUUAAUAUUUGAAGCUCAUGGUAUUAACUCAAUCAAUACUUAAGCCCAAAAAGAGUAAAAGAAAGGGAAGUAUUUGGAUAGCUACUUGAAAAAGGCAUCACUGCCACACACUAUAAUUUCAUUAGCUUUUCCAGCCAUAGAACAAACACUAAAACCAGGGAACAUUUGAAUGCAUUUACAACCAGGACUACCUGCUGAGCAAACCUUGUGAUAGUAAGGACUGAAGCUAAAGAAUUCAAUUCAAGAUAUCCAUGGUGCAAUUAUGCAGUAAAACUCUGGAAGUCUUAACAUUAAAUAAAGACUUAUUUGAAAUUAAAUUUACUGUAGAGAAAAGUGCUCAUUAGAGGGACAGAACACAGGAGAUGCAUGAAGGAAAACAGCAUUAGCUCAGGACACACAGAACUAUUUCAAUUCUAUCAAAAGCUGCAGCAGCACCUGCCUAAAUUAAGAGCUUUUGAAUUAGGCAGAAGCAGAUACACACAGUUACAACAAUCAGACUACUGCAAGCCACUGCAAACAACUAUCCAUAAGGUCUAAGCCCCAGAUCUGAUAUGCCCCACAGCUAGCUCAAGGCAAGAGGAACAAAAAUGCACUAAGUCUCACAAUACCCACUGGGAUCUUACAGUUCAACACUGAAAUGGUUAAAGCCUUUUUUUUUUUCAACACUUCAUGAGUGAGGGAUCUUGUUUCAUGCUUGAUGUUUUCCAAGCAAGUCAGACCAAGCUCACCCCCAUUAAGUUACUAAGGACAAUGAACAAACAUGCUGCUUAACAAAUACUUACUGCAGGAUGAAAGACAUUAAUAGCCUGAACAGAGGCCUUGCCUUUUUGCUUAUAACCAAACACCAAGUCAAUCCAGUGACAGAUUGUCUGGGAAACAUGAUCAGACUCCAAAGCCUGACGAUGAAUCAAGAUGAACAGACGAGGAUCGUUACGGGCCCAGGGUGGAAGAUUGACAUGGUUAACUCUGUCACCAUUUUGACGCACU